rnacentral:lncRNA from 1 species
AUUUUAUCAUCCAUCAAGUCUCGAAUUCUCUUGGGAUGCUCUUUACUUUUGAAGAAAUACUAGCAAGAUGAAUACUUGAAAAUAGAGGCUACAGUAUGAGAAAAAUUACCAACCAAACAAGACUAUUGAGAAGACUUGUAUAGAAGCCAGGAGAUCAAGCAUUUUGGAUAAGCUGAGAAGCAACGGGCCCAAGAAAGUAAAUAUCUAGGCCCAAUUGAGAACAGUCCCAAAGAAGAGCCAAAAAGAAAUCUUCAACACUUUUUUAUUGUAAACUAUUAGGCCACAAUUUGAAAGAAGAAACCCCAAUCACAUUAUGGGCCAACUUGAGCUAGCAAAUGACAAAAUCCCCAAAUUUGAAGAGAGAUUGAGUUGCAAAAAUCUCAAGAAAGACCAACUAUCUGACAAUCACAGAUUGCAAAAGUUGAAUUGGACAAUGCAUCUUUGUCCAAGCAUGCCAUCACCAUGGUCUUGUCGCUAUCACAAUUUAAUGUGGAUGAAAAAACCAACCAAGCACUCUAUUAUCAGUGGUAUAUUGAAGGUGCUGAACCGAAGGUUGAAUGGUUGUCAUCGGAGGUUUUGAAGGUUUCAAUAGUAGUUAAAUACCAAAAAAUGUAACUCAUUCUUCUUCAGUUGCUAGUAGAGCUGUUUAAUUUGAAGCUUGGUUGUACUGUUAACCAUAGUCUCUAAUUUUCUAUCAUAUUUCAUUUGUUCCAUUUAUGUGUAUCCGGAGUGAUAUUGAGCUUCUUUUUUCCAAAUGCCCAUAGCAGCACAAAUAAUAUCCUCCAUUUCUGCUCUUUGUUGUUGAAUUUUUUAAUGGUUGAAGUAUCAAAUAAUGGUGG